ACGGCCGCAAGGUUAAAACUCAAAUGAAUUGACGGGGGCCCGCACAAGCGGUGGAGCAUGUGGUUUAAUUCGAUGCAACGCGAAGAACCUUACCUGGUCUUGACAUCCACGGAAGUUUUCAGAGAUGAGAAUGUGCCUUCGGGAACCGUGAGACAGGUGCUGCAUGGCUGUCGUCAGCUCGUGUUGUGAAAUGUUGGGUUAAGUCCCGCAACGAGCGCAACCCUUAUCCUUUGUUGCCAGCGGUCCGGCCGGGAACUCAAAGGAGACUGCCAGUGAUAAACUGGAGGAAGGUGGGGAUGACGUCAAGUCAUCAUGGCCCUUACGACCAGGGCUACACACGUGCUACAAUGGCGCAUACAAAGAGAAGCGACCUCGCGAGAGCAAGCGGACCUCAUAAAGUGCGUCGUAGUCCGGAUUGGAGUCUGCAACUCGACUCCAUGAAGUCGGAAUCGCUAGUAAUCGUGGAUCAGAAUGCCACGGUGAAUACGUUCCCGGGCCUUGUACACACCGCCCGUCACACCAUGGGAGUGGGUUGCAAAAGAAGUAGG
rnacentral:rRNA from 2 species